CGCAGCCGUGCACGACACGCUCGCUGCUGGCUAGAAGGGAGCCAUGAAGAGGAGCUUGGAGUAGGCAAGGGAGAGGCUGAUAAAGCAGUAGAGAAGACCUGAUUCAUCAAGUAUCACAGUUAAUUCUGGUGAUUCUGACCUGGUUGGAAUGCGCAACACGGCAAGGCACUUCAAUCCGACACUCUUGUUAAUGUUUGACGUCAGGCAAAACGUCUUCAGCCACCGUAGGAUGGAGAGCCGCUGGUUGGCAUUUUUGACAGCGGUGUCUGUGUGGGUGUACCAGGAAAGGACGUUAGAAGUUAGGUCCCCAUGAUAUCAAAGCUUCUUACCAUCUUCACUGCACCCCGUCGAUAUCGAU
ensembl:lncRNA